CGCGGUGUAGAGCAAUGGCAGCUCGUUGGGUUCAUUCCCCAAAGGUUGCAGGUUCGAGUCCUGCCACCGCAA
rnacentral:tRNA from 1 species